CCGUCACUCCAUCAGCUCUGAUCUUCAUCCAUUUGCACCGCCAUCCGACGCCGUCCAUCAGUCACCAUCGUCCCCGCCGUCCAAUGCCGUCCACGCUCUCCAUCGUCCCCGCCGUCCACGCUCUCCAUCUUCCCGUCCAUCGCCAUCCCGUCGUCCAUCGCCGAUCGACGUCCCCGCCGCUGCCGCCCAAGGUCGCCGUCGCGACGUCUCAGCUCGCCACCGCAGUACGGAAGCCGACGCCGCCGCUGUACGCUCGCCAAAAAGGGAGAAUGAGAAUUUAAUGACAUACAGAGAACCUGAGUCUGAGAGAUUAAUAUGACUAAUAAACUGAAGAAUGCUAAUGAAUCAAACCCAACAUUUCAUGAUGCACUUAACUCUCCUGCAGUGGAGGCCUCAAGAUUGAGGGUGUUAAUAAAUCAGAGUUUGAAUUGGCAGCACCA